CGGGGAUAGCCUUUCGAAAGAAAGAUUAAUACCCGAUGUCAUAGUCCUACCGCAUGAUGGGAUUAUUAAAGAAUUUCGGUAUGGGAUGGGGAUGCGUUCCAUUAGUUAGUUGGCGGGGUAACGGCCCACCAAGACAACGAUGGAUAGGGGUUCUGAGAGGAAGGUCCCCCACAUUGGAACUGAGACACGGUCCAAACUCCUACGGGAGGCAGCAGUGAGGAAUAUUGGUCAAUGGACGAGAGUCUGAACCAGCCAAGUAGCGAGAAGGAUGACUGCCCUAUGGGUUGUAAACUUCUUUUAUAUGGGAAUAAAAUGUUCCACGUGUGGGAUUUUGUAUGUACCAUAUGAAUAAGGAUCGGCUAACUCCGUGCCAGCAGCCGCGGUAAUACGGAGGAUUCGAGCGUUAUCCGGAUUUAUUGGGUUUAAAGGGAGCGUAGGUGGAUUGUUAAGUCAGUUGUGAAAGUUUGCGGCUCAACCGUAAAAUUGCAGUUGAAACUGGCAGUCUUGAGUACAGUAGAGGUGGGCGGAAUUCGUGGUGUAGCGGUGAAAUGCUUAGAUAUCACGAAGAACUCCGAUUGCGAAGGCAGCUCACUGGACUGCAACUGACACUGAGGCUCGAAAGUGUGGGUAUCAAACAGGAUUAGAUACCCUGGUAGUCCACACAGUAAAC
rnacentral:rRNA from 1 species